AUGUUUCCUCAAGGACUUAAGAAUAAAACUCACAAAAUCUUAUAUUCCUCUCCAACUUCCGUGAGCUUCUAUCUCCUUCCCUUGAACCAGUGCCCGCCACACUUGCUCCCGGUGCUAGCCAUGAGUGCCAUCCACCACCCAGCCACUGGCGAUUGUCAACCUCAAGUCAGCUGGUUACCAUACUCCCUCCGGCGUCCGCCACUCUCUUCACGGUCAACUUUCUUUUGUCCGCGACUGAUUCCAACGAAACAACUCCCUCCAUUUCCGAUUUGCUUCGCCGUCUCCAAUUCAUGUUCUUUGGCAUCUAUUCGGCCUUUGUCGUGCGACAUACAACAUUAG